ensembl:snoRNA SNORD36 Small nucleolar RNA SNORD36
UUGCAAUGAUGUAUGAAUUUCUUCACCUGAAUUAAUAGCAUGGAGAAUAAAUAUACGAGCUUUUUAACCCUGAGCAAA